UACGGAGGGUCCAAGCGUUAUCCGGAAUCAUUGGGUUUAAAGGGUCCGUAGGCGGUUUUGUAAGUCAGUGGUGAAAGCCCAUCGCUCAACGGUGGAACGGCCAUUGAUACUGCAAGACUUGAAUUAUUGGGAAGUAACUAGAAUAUGUAGUGUAGCGGUGAAAUGCUUAGAGAUUACAUGGAAUACCAAUUGCGAAGGCAGGUUACUACCAAUAUAUUGACGCUGAGGCGCGAAAGCGUGGGGAGCAAACAGG
rnacentral:rRNA from 1 species